rnacentral:rRNA from 1 species
GUAUAUGGAUAUGGAAAAUAUAAGAUUUCCGAUCCUAGCGGGAAAAGGCGGGGAACAGAUACCCAAUAGGAUCCUUGGGAGGAACUUUUGGUAAUGGCCUUGAUCCUCUAUGCUAUUUUUUAUGCGUUCCGCCGGAAAUUCUGUAAUAAAUCCAGAAAUAAAUGCGAACAGCAGGAUUUGAACCCUGAUAGGCUGGGGAUACCACAGUCCCUCAAACCAUCCAACUACAGGUUGGUUCGGCUAGAUCUAUGGUUCACGACAUAG